CUUUUAAAAAAAAAAAAGAAAACAAAAAAAAAACCUGAGGAGGAGAGCAAACGAAAAUGAGACGUUUGGCUCGGCCAUCAAGAAACGUGUUAUGGAUUUCGGUGCCGUUCUUUGCCGCGUGCGCUUCCUUCUCUGCUUUGCUAAUCUCUUCAUCCAUCUUACUUAUUUCCACUUUCAUAUAUAUCAUCCAAACUCAGACUUUUGAUUCCUUCUGCCUUUUGGGCUGACCGUAACUCUCGUGCCCACCCUCCCUGGAGUCCGUUUCAGCUAUGCAUUUAUGGUGUAAGAUGAGGAGGAUUUGGCGCUCUGUCUCAGCAAGGUUCAAACCCCAUAAACCUACUGCUGCAGGAGGUGGCAAAGGUGGCGCGAUUAGCAGUAAUGCAAGUGGUUUAUCAAAGCUUCAAGACGAUGUAAACAUGUGUGGAUAUAAAGAUGUGCAGGUGAUGUGGAACCUAUUGAAUACCUCGUAAAUCAAACCAACAGGGGCAGGAACAACAACUACAGUCUCUCAUUAGUCUCGCAAAUGCGGCAAGCAAAGGCCAUCUCGGAUGGCUCUCUUAUGGCCUAACCAUGGAGCUACUGCCUCAUCUUCAUCUUCACUUUGUUGGGUUAAAUCCAGAAAAAUAGUAUAUUAGCUAUAGAUACUUAGUUUUUUUUUUUUAAUUUUGGUAGCCUUAGAGUGAGAGUAGAGCAAUUUGUAUACGAGUAUAUGUUUGUUUGUAUUCACAGAAUCACAGUUGUUUAUACAGCCAUAGAAAUGCCAAUACCUAUCUUCCCCUGUU